rnacentral:rRNA from 1 species
UGCCAGCCGCCGCGGUAAUACGGAGGGGGCAAGCGUUGUUCGGAAUUAUUGGGCGUAAAGCGCGUGUAGGCGGUUCGUUAAGUCUGAUGUGAAAGCCCGGGGCUCAACCCCGGAAGUGCAUUGGAAACUGGCGAACUUGAGUACGGGAGAGGAAAGUGGAAUUCCGAGUGUAGGGGUGAAAUCCGUAGAUAUUCGGAGGAACACCAGUGGCGAAGGCGGCUCACUGGUCCGAUACUGACGCUGAGGUGCGAAAGCGUGGGGAGCGAGCAGGAUUAGAUA